UUCCUUAAUAUCUGUCUAG
rnacentral:miRNA from 1 species